ACGGGAGGCAGCAGUGGGGAAUAUUGGGCAAUGGGGGAAACCCUGAUGCAGCAACGCCGCGUGAGCGAUGAAGGCCUUCGGGUUGUAAAGCUCUGAUCUGGGGGAAGAAACAAAUGACGGUACCCCAGGAGAAAGCCCCGGCUAACUACGUGUCAGCAGCCGCGAUAAUACGUAGGGGGCAAGCGUUAUCCGGAAUUAUUGGGCGUAAAGAGUGCGUAGGUGGUUACCUAAGCGCAAGGUUUAAUCUUGAGGCUUAACCUCAUUCUGCCUUGCGAACUGGGCUACUUGAGUGCAGGAGGGGAAAGCGGAAUUCCUAGUGUAGCGGUGAAAUGCGUAGAUAUUAGGAAGAACACCGGUGGCGAAGGCGGCUUUCUGGACUGUAACUGACACUGAGGCACGAAAGCGUGGGGAGCAAACAGGAUUAGAUACCCUGGUA
rnacentral:rRNA from 1 species